AUUAAAAAGCCUAAAGGCUGAAAAGCCUUAUACGAACAAAACAGAAGGCUUAAACUUCUGUUCAUUCACGCAAGCCUUGCACGAAAAAGAGAAACAGAAUGCUACGAAACAGAGCAGAGGCAGUCUUGCUACUCAAUACUCACGCAGGCAACAGGAAGUUCUAGGUUUUUUUACAAAUCACUAAUUCUUGAACUGAGGUAUAUAGAUUUUCUAUUGUCAAUUAUCCUACAGUAGUAGUAGUAGGUAAGAAUUGAAUAGUUAAUUCUCUUUUUUCUCUGUAUCAACAGUAAAUUCUAUGUUUAGGUGUGAAACUUUAAAAUUGGUUAAAAUGCACUGGUUGUUGUAGAAUCGAUUAUUUGAUGGGUAUAAAUUGCAUUGGGGUCUACGUAUUGGCUCGAGCAAUUUUGAAGUGAGUAGAUAUUACCCUUUACUAAAGUGGUUUAACUCACAAAAGUACGCAUACAAGGUGUUCGAUAAAUUGCUUAAAAGAGUUAAUAUGUACUUAAACGGAGCGAGUGAGUACUUAUUAACUUAGAAUUGUUCUAGCUAAAUUUUAGAUGAUUUAUUAUGAUAUAUGUGCAUAAAUUUUCAGAUUGUUGUGUUAUUCUUAUAUGCCAUUUUCAUGUUGAAAAUUCAUGAAGAAGCAAGAAUCUUUAAAUAUACUUUUGAAUGUAUAUUUUAUUCUUAUUCCAUGCUUUACAUGUAAUGAUACCAGUAUGAGUAUGUAUAGGAUAUUCCAGAAAAGAUUUAGACUUGAAAAGUCACAAGAAGAUUUAGAAAGAAAAGAUUUUUGGAAGUAUCCUCUAUUUUGAGAAGGGGUGAUCGUCUAGGCCGAGGGUCCUGACCAAGGCAUUGACUUUCUGAAACUACUUAUGCCAAAGUAGGGAAUACACGAGCCGAGGGUCUCGUUGCUGAGAAUUUACUUAGCCAAGCUAAGGUAUGAUACAUGAGCGCUGAGAACCAUGAAGCGAGUGACACCUCAUGGAUUGGGCCUAUUCAAUCAGGUUGGGAUCGAACUCGUGCCAAUCACACGGUGACUAAGACAGAAAUAAGUCAGGAUAGUUAGAACUCCCGAAGUAUAAAGUGAAGUAUCUUUUUUUAUAACAAAGGAAUUUCUUUUAGAAUAUUCAUAAAUUACCACUAUGCAAUUAUUUUAGAAUUGUUCUUAGAAGUUUUAUGUUUUUCAUGCAUUCAAAAUCUUUAUUUGUAAUGUAUAUUUUAUUAAAGUUUCGUCCCCUAUCGUCGAGACUCACUGAGUACAAUGGAUAGUACUGACGUUCUCUUUUGGGAACCUACGUUGGUCUGCGGUAUAAUUUAGGAACCGAUUUUGUAGGCGAGUAGGUUACAGGUUAGGACUUCCCUCUCUUCCAGUGUAAUUGGUGAGCUCCCCUUUUGUUCGUGGAACAUUUUUUUGAGUCAUCUUUAUUUAGUUAUUUCUUUAUUUACUUGGAAAACUAGCCAGACAAUCUCAUGUCCCGAGAAGUGCGUCAGUUUAUCAGUAGAGACUUCAUAGACACAGUCGGGGGGAUUAAGAUUCAGAUGUAUUGAUAAUAACUUUGCAAUAUUUCAAUAGUCACUACGAAUAAAGUUUUAGAGUUGGUUUACUUUAGAUAUUUAAAUUAAUUAAAAGUAUUUGGUUAAAGCAUUGCCUUGUUACAUAUAAAGUUUGAAGUUAUAAUAGAUUUGAUAAGCGCAGAUGGUUCGCUCGGUCAAGUUUAGUGAUCGAGUGCCGGUCAUGGCUUGUUCAGAAAAUCGGUUGUAACAGAGAGAGAGCGCAGGAGAGAGAGAACAUGGAUGAGAAAUAAUUGAUUCCUUAUUUAAUUCCUAAUUUAAAGGGAUACUCAUUUAAAACUAAUUUGUAUAUAAUUGGUAAAUUGUGUAUGGCCAUGUAAUUAAGUUCAAACUUGAUUAGGGAGGGUAAUAAAAUUUUAUAUGUAGUAUAUGAAGGUAAAAAUCCCUUCUCUAUUUCUAAAUUAUACAGACAAGGUUUAAGAACUUUAUUCUCUACAAUAAGGUGUUGGGUUUAAUAAGUAUAUUUAAAUGGGUGUUCUUUCAACAAUAUGUAUAAGACAUGAAAGAAGACUAACAAGGAAAGAAAAUAAAUUAUUUCAUAGGAAAAAAGAGAGGAAUUUUUUUUCAGGAAUCUAUAUGGAGAACUUAAGAAAAAAGGUGAACAAAAUAAAGAAAAUUGUGAAAAAAUAAAAAAUAAAAGUGAAAAAAUAAGGAAGAAUAGUGAAAAAAUGAGGAAGAAAGGUGGAUAUAAAGGAAAUAAGGAGAUUAUUUAUAAUUAAAAAAUAGAGUUAAAAGAGGAUUAGGCUACUUAGCCAUUACAUUCUUUAUAAAAAAUAAAAAUAAAAAGCCAUUACAUUAUGUUAGGUGGACCAUUUUGAUGGCUUUUUUCAGUUGUCACGCGCUCCCAAGCGAGUGUGUACAUAUGUUAUGCCAGACAGUGGCGGAGCCACCUUAUAGGAAGGGGUGUCAAAUGAUACCCCUUUGCGAAAAAAAUACAAUGUGCACGUAGGUAAAAAAAUAAAUUUAUAUGUAUGUAUGUUAUAUAUUGACUCCCCUUAAUUUUUUGGUAUAUUUACUUUUAUAUAUUUUGACACCCCUUAAUAAAAUUUCUGGCUCCGCCACUGAUGCCAGGUAAGCAACGAGGGAGUUUAAAUAUGAAGGGCAAUAUAGUUCGGGGGGAUUUUGAAGACACCGAAUAGUUUAAGUAGGAAAUUGACAAAAACAUGACAGUUUAAGGAGGUUUUAGGGUAUUAACUCUUUAUUUAACCCCCUCCCUUCUUUUUCUGCGCAAACCAAAUGAGGGAAAGGAAAAUCUGAAAAUCUGCUACUUUUCUUUUCCUUUCCUCAAUUUCAGAGGGCUGGCGACCAUACACCAGUGCCUUAUGUUUUUUGGCAUUAAUAUAUGUCUUUGUUAGAAGGUAAAGAUCCUAUAUAUUAUAUGAAGCUGAAUUAAUGCAAAUAAUGCAAGUAAUAAGAAGAAAGGUGAAGAGAUAGUAUUCUCUUCCUUAUGGAGUGAGAUAAAACUUCCAAAUUAGCACUAAAAGAAGAACAUAAUUGAGCAAAAUAAACAGUAGUUGUCAACUUAAUAAUAACAAGCGUAAUUCCUCAUAGUACACUGCCAGACAAGGAACAUCAAGUAAAAAAUACAUAUCCACUUAACAUACAACAUUGAAGAGUCUCAGCUCAUUCAGCAAGUAAUAUAAUAUGGUAUACAUAAUUAAGUUGAUCUUCACUUCCAAGAAUCUUCAGGCUUAAUAGUAGUCUUCUCUUGUGGUUAAGAUGUAGAGCACAAAACAUAGAAGACUUUCAACCAUAUUAGCUGCUCAGGAAAAGAAAUACCUUAGUAUCUAUCAUUAGUAAAAUUGAUUUGGUAGGAAGGAAAUUGUUUUUCAUAAAAAAGUCAUUGUAAUUCUGAUAUUUGGUAUGAUCACUUAUGAGGGAAAGUCAUUUUCCUUAUAAUUACCUUAAGCUUCAUAUUAUUUGGUUCAACUAAUACUUGGACAUUAAUAUUAAUCUCUACUCUAGUACAGAUCAAUAGUAGUUUUAUUGGAACACUCUCCGAUUUGCUAAUAUUAUUACUACAUUUUUAUUAUAUAUUUUUACAAAUACUCCAAUAUUUUCUACUGACCAAUCAAAUACCAGAAAAUAUUUUUUAAUAUUUUAUAUUUUCACGACACACCCUCAAAGUCCCAACAUGUACCACCUUUGAAAUUUGCAGUCUAUUUCCUCUUUCAAGAAAGUAUAUUCUUUGUCCUAAAUUUCACCGUUUUUCUUUUUCUUUCUAAAAAAGUUUUUGAUGAAGUGGUUAAUAAGGAAGGAGUGAGUGUACUCACACUAGUUGAAGAGAUGGUUGGUCUUGUCUAGUGUAAUGGUUGUUGGUUUGCAAACCAUUAACUUGUAAAUAGUUUCGAGUAUCAAAUUGAUGAGGUGGAGGCACAAGCUCAUAGCUUGAACUCCCUGGCAUCAAGUUCAUCUGCUGCUGCUGCUGCUGCUGCUGAGCUCUCUCAGUUUCAGCAAUCUGUUCAAUUUAUUUACUUACAAAAUAACUGACUUUCUGCAGAAUAAGUUACCUAAUUAAGGACUAGUAAUUAGUAAGUUAAAGAGAAAGAAACAGACCUUUGCUCUCAGGUACUGAUUGUUGUUGUGUAAAUCAAUUUCCUGCUGUCCAUUAACUUAUGUUACAAUUUUGGCAUGAAAAUAGGAGUACUAUGACCAAAAAGGACUAUCUUGAAAAUGUAACUAGAAGAAAGAUUGUACGACUUACCCUCUUCUGCAUGUACUCAAUUUCAGCAAACAGCAGCUCAUUCUGUAGUUUGAGAAUGGAAGGUUAGAAAUUAGAAAAUAAUGCCAUUACAGGAAAUUGAAAAUAGAACAGUGUUGUGAAAAUCAGAACAAAUUGUCACUAAACAAAAUUGAAAAUUUCAUAAGAAAAUAGUGAAGUUAAGCACCUUUUUGGAUCUGAUUUUGCUAAUGCCUUUUUCAAUUUUUUGUUCCAGAUUCUUCAGAUCUCUGAGGCUCAGUGCAGCCAGUGAUUCACCCAACAUGUUCCUGAAUCAAUGCAAUAAACGUAAGGAGUACUAUUAGCAACAAAGGACACAAUUAGACUAAUAAAACACAUGGGAUUGGAAAAGAAAAGAAACAAAAAACACUAAAAUUUUACCUGUUCUGAUUCUGCAGAUUUCCAAUUUGUGCGCGCAGUUUGGAGGCUUCUUGCUGAUAAUACUGGGAUUGAUUGAGCAACAUUUUUACAGUAAUCACAAAAGCUUAUGAAGCUAUAUAUUAUGAAUCCAUCUAGCUUGCAACUUGUAAUAUAAUGUAUGACGCAUAUUGCUUUGAGAAGUCUUAUGUAUGUGUAAAAGAGGGCAUUUAACUUCUUUUAAAAUGAAUCUGGAGAUUCAAAUGUGCUCCUACAAUGAGUUCUCUUCUUUUAGUAGUGCUUUCUUCAAUUACUAAAGCAAUUUCAGUGUCAUACACUAAAUUGUUUUACCCUGAUCAGUAGCAUUGAGCAAUCAUAAUCUUUUCCUAAAUUCUUAGAAAUCUACUCAAAUCUCGAUUUUAAGCUUUUAACUUACAAUGAUCCAAGUGUUAUAAGUAGUAGCUACACCAAUUCUCUCAAAAUCAAAUAGAUUACAACAGUUGAUUCAGUAAAGUGGACAACAUUAGAGGAGAGGUGCCAUUUUGUUACUAAAUUAAUCACUCCUUAAUAAAAAACAUUUAUAAUUAUACUAAUGUUAUGGUAUGUUCGAGACUAAGCUCCAAAUAUUUUCUUUUGGUAACUAAAACACCUUUUAUUAUCAAAUGAGAAGUUACAGCUCAAAGAAGGAAGAAGGAAAGAUACACAUUGGAAUGCCCAAGCAUGUAGACCUACAACUGCUUAUAAAAUCCAGAACAGCAUUUCUAACUAGGAAAGAAACAUUUUAUAGUCAUACAAAUAUUAUGAGAUAUUUAAAAUCACAAGUUUUAAAAAUCUUUUUUUACUAAAUUUUGUGUCAAGUCAAACUGCGACAAACAAAGUGAAAUGGAGGGAAUAUAUUAAGAACGAGAUUUUAUUAUUCAUUGGAAUAAGUUUCAAUUUGUAAGUAGGAAAAAUAACCAAACAGUAAUCUACUGCUUUUAAAUAUUAUAUACUAUUUAAAAAAAUGAAGAGACAAGUCCUUUUUUUGCAUUAUCUUGUUCUUUUCCAACAUAUGAUAGGAGAAACCACCCCAUUCUCAUAAUUAAAAGGGGUCUUUAUACAAAUAGCCAGACAUAUUCAUUCUUUACUUUUCUUAGUUGGUAUACAAAAAUUAUACAUUAAUUAUACACAAUAAUGCACAUAUUACAUAUGAAUUAUUUAUAUUUUUUUAUAUCUAUCGACAAUUUUAAGUUUAAGUAAUUAGGUGACGGCUAUUUAGGUUAAUAAAAUUUGUCAUAACAGUAUAGGCAUGAAGUUUACCCUAAUUUACUUUGUUGUAAGAGAUGAGAGAGGAAUGGUUGAAAUUAUUUACUCCU
rnacentral:lncRNA from 1 species